CCUACGGGAGGCAGCAGUGAGGAAUAUUGGUCAAUGGGCGGGAGCCUGAACCAGCCAAGUCGCGUGAGGGAUGACGGCCCUAUGGGUUGUAAACCUCUUUUGUCGGGGAGUAAAGUGCCGCACGUGUGCCGUUUGGUGAGUACCUGGAGAAUAAGCAUCGGCUAACUCCGUGCCAGCAGCCGCGGUAAUACGGAGGAUGCGAGCGUUAUCCGGAUUUAUUGGGUUUAAAGGGUGCGUAGGCGGACGCUUAAGUCAGCGGUAAAAUUGCGGGGCUCAACCUAGUCGAGCCGUUGAAACUGGGUGCCUUGAGUGGAGGAGAGGUACGCGGAAUGCGUGGUGUAGCGGUGAAAUGCAUAGAUAUCACGCAGAACUCCGAUUGCGAAGGCAGCAUACCGGCGCGCAACUGACACUCAUGCACGAAAGCGUGGGUAUCGAACAGGAUUAGAUACCCCUGUAGUC
rnacentral:rRNA from 1 species